UACGAAGGACCCGAGCGUUAUCCGGAUUUAUUGGGUUUAAAGGGUGCGUAGGCGGAUUAUUAAGUCAGUGGUGAAAACCUUCAGCUUAACUGAAGAAUUGCCAUUGAUACUGAUGAUCUUGAGUAUGAUUGAGGUGGGCGGAAUGUGUCAUGUAGCGGUGAAAUGCUUAGAUAUGACACAGAACACCGAUUGCGAAGGCAGCUCACUAAGCCAUAACUGACGCUGAUGCACGAAAGCGUGGGGAGCAAACAGG
rnacentral:rRNA from 1 species